AAUGACUCUCGGCAAUGGAUAUCUCGGCUCUUGCAUCGAUGAAGAACGUAGUGAAAUGCGAUACUUGGUGUGAAUUGCAGAAUCUCGUGAACCAUUGAGUCUUUGAACGCAAGUUGUGCCCGAGGCCUUGCGGUCGAGGGCGCGCCUGCUUGGGCGUCAUGGC
rnacentral:rRNA from 1 species